AACGUAGGAGACAAACGUUAUCCGGAGUUACUGGGCGUAAAGGGCGUGUAGGUGGUAUCGUAAGUCUGGCGUGAAAUUUCUCGGCUUAACCGAGGAAGGUCGUCGGAUACUGCGAGGCUAGAGGACGGUAGAGGCGUGUGGAAUUCCGGGUGUAGUGGUGAAAUGCGUAGAGAUCCGGAGGAACACCAGUGGCGAAGGCGACACGCUGGGCCGUACCUGACACUGAUGCGCGACAGCAUGGGGAGCAAACAGG
rnacentral:rRNA from 1 species